CAACCCAUCAUUGAAGGAAGCCGUGGGACAGGCCAAAUGGACCACAGAUACACCCACACCCAGAUACACCCAGAUACACCCAUGCACCCCGACCCCUCUCCCCAUGCACAACUGGCAUUCAGCCUCGGGGGAUGCCUUGCUGACCACACCCUCCUUCCUUGCUCCUGGCCUGCCCUGCCUCUUCCACCAAUCCAAUUGUUUCUUAUGGACAGAAAAGAGCAGAGGCUCUGAGCUGUCCGAUCAGGUCCAGUGUGUGGAAAAAUCAUUGUUAUCGAGCAAUAAUGACAAACCUGGCAUUGACAACUUAGAUGGAAAGCUACUGAGGAUGAUAACUGACUCUAUAGCCACUCUUAUCUGUCAUAUGUUUAAUCUAAAUCAGCUUGCUGCCAACUUUAGUCAAACUGUUGGAAAAAAUUGUUUUACCAAAUUUUUCUCUGUGAACAAAUGAAUACGACUUUCAGCAGGUAUAUAGAGAAUGUCACCCAACAUGUACAGCACUGACACAUAUAACAGAUGAUUGGUUGAAAUAAAUUGAUAAAAAGA